AGCGAACGCUGGCGGUAGGCCUAACACAUGCAAGUCGAACGACAGCACCGUAAGAGCUUGCUCUCACGGGUGGCGAGUGGCGGACGGGUGCGGUAUACUUCGGAAUAUACUUUUUCGUGGGGGAUAACAUAGGGAAACUUCCGCUCAUCACACAUACGCCCUCCGUGUGAAAGCAGGGGAUCUUUGGACCUUUCGCGAUUGCAUAAGCCGAUGUCGGCUUAGCUCGUUGGCGGGUUAAAGGCCUACCAAGGCGACGCUCCGUAGCUGGUCUGAGAGGAUGAUCAGCCAGACUGGAACGGAGACACGGUACAGACUCCUAAGGGAGGCAGCAGUGGAGAAUAUUGGACAAUGGGCGAAAGCCGGAUCCAGCAAAACCGCGUAGGUGAAGAAGGCCUUAGGGUUGGAAAGCGCUUUUGUUGGGAAAGAAGAGCAGCAGUUUAACACCCCGCUGUUCUGACGGUACCCAAAGAAUAAGCACCGGCUAACUUCGUG
rnacentral:rRNA from 1 species